rnacentral:rRNA from 1 species
AGAGUUUGAUCAUGGCUCAGAGCGAACGCUGGCGGCAGGCUUAACACAUGCAAGUCGAGCGCUCGUAGCAAUACGAGAGCGGCAGACGGGAGAGUAACACGUGGGAACGUACCCUUCGGUUCGGAAUAACCCAGGGAAACUUGGGCUAAUACCGGAUACGUCCGUAAGGAGAAAGAUUUAUCGCAGCAGGAGGGGCCCGC